UACGUAGGGUGCAAGCGUUGUCCGGAAUUACUGGGCGUAAAGGGCUCGUAGGCGGCCAACUAAGCCAGACGUGAAAUCCCUGGGCUCAACCCAGGAACUGCGUCCGAUACUGGCAGGCUUGAAUCCGGGAGAGGGAUGUGGAAUUCCAGGUGUAGCGGUGAAAUGCGUAGAUAUCUGGAGGAACACCGGUGGCGAAGGCGGCAUCCUGGACCGGUAUUGACGCUGAGGCGCGAAAGCCAGGGGAGCAAACGGG
rnacentral:rRNA from 1 species